UAACUAAAGUCUUUAACUUUCCAGACUGCACUCACUGAUGGCACCAGUCAGCCUUGCUUCCUCACUACGGAAGCUCUCCAGGCAUAAAGACGUGUGAAUAUCACUGCCUGCCAACAAUAGAUCUUAUAUUUGUGACACACCUGGAGGCUCUCUUGGCUGCCUAGCACUUGGGUUCUGACUGCUGCUAGGAGACUAAUGAAUCAGGACCAUGCUUCCAGGAAGAUCUUUGGCAGUUUGUUCUUGAAACCAAAUAGCUCUGAACUGUAAUAUAAAAAGAAGGGCUUCUAUAUACAACAGGUGAAAAGAAUGAGGGAGAGAAAAGGAAAAAGAUGAGAAACUGAGAUCCAGAGUCCCGGGGCUACCUUUAGGAAGUAAUCUACAAGUACAAGGUAAAGAAAGCUGGACUUGGAAUCAGAAGACUAACUUUAAGCCAUGGUGCCUCCACUUGCUAAUUGUAUGCUCUUAGCCAAAUUAACUUGAUUCUCAGUUUCUUACCUAAUAAAUGGGAAUAAAAGAAAAUACAAAUAAAAAUAAAAUUUGAAAUCUUUCUUAUAGGAACAUUGCAAGUUCAUAAGAAUGAAUGUAAAAAUGUUCAAAUGUAUGUCAGAAGGAAACA